GGAGAAGGGACCUCUGUUGCAAAUUAUUCUCUGAGCUCAUGCAGUCCUCCUGCAUCGAAAGACCCCAGCAGAAUGCGAGGGAGCAGACAAUGUUAGAGUCCAGAAAAGCACAAUAUGAACACGAGGGCAGGUGGCGGGUUGAAGAUGAUAGGUGACGUCAGCUGGCUGACAGAAAGCAGGAGUCAAUGCUGAGGUUCCUGGAGGAUCAAACUGAUAUGCUCCGGCGUAUGGUUGAGAUGCAGGAAAU